rnacentral:rRNA from 1 species
GCAAGUCGAGGGGUAACGGAAGUAGCUUGCUACUAGACGACGACCGGCGCACGGGUGAGUAACGCGUAUGUAAUCUGCCUUGUACAGAGGGAUAGCCCAGAGAAAUUUGGAUUAAUACCUCAUAGUAUUACUGAAUCGCAUGAUUCGGUAAUUAAAGCUCCGGCGGUACAAGAUGAACAUGCGUGACAUUAGCUAGUUGGUAAGGUAACGGCUUACCAAGGCCACGAUGUCUAGGGGUUCUGAGAGGAUGAUCCCCCACACUGGUACUGAGACACGGACCAGACUCCUACGGGAGGCAGCAGUGAGGAAUAUUGGUCAAUGGACGCAAGUCUGAACCAGCCAUCCCGCGUGAAGGAUGACUGCCCUAUGGGUUGUAAACUUCUUUUAUAUGCAAAUAAACCUACUUUCGUGAAAGUAGCUGAAGGCUACAUAUGAAUAAACACCG